rnacentral:lncRNA from 10 species
CUGUUGUAUUUUGUUAACAGUGACAAUGACAAGCACUAACAGGAUGCUCCCGCUGUGAUUGAGAAUGUGACGCAGGUCAUUCCCCAUAAUAAUUAGCUCACAGGCAGAGUUUCCAGGCGCUUCCAGGAGCAUCAAUCACCGGGAUGAAUGGGAAGCCCGUGUGUGGGAACUGCAGGGGGAGCUGGGUGCAGAGCCACCUCAGCCCUGUCACCCUGCGCGUGUCUCUGCCAUGCUUCCUUGGAUCCCUAUCUACCCCGUUUUGGGUGACAGGACGAGUUGGGCCAGUUACCAGCCUGAGUCGAAGCUGUUAAAGAGGCCAAGAAUUCCCAAGCUUUCCCAGGCAAACGGGGAAGAACACUGGGAUGCCUUUUCCUCCUCCUCUGUCCAUCUGCAGGCCAAGUGUGCAUCAGUCACAGGCAAACUCUGAAUUGAGCUUUGUGCAAGUCUCUGGAAAGAGACCCAAGAUCGUGUGAUGAGCAAAAGUGACAGUGCUGGAGGCAGCGACAUCUGCAGAGCCAGCCCCAUCCCUAUCUGCAGCAGAAUAUGUAUGGGGAUCCUUUAUGUGAACAAUCCACCCAGGGUAGAAUGGGGCUUUUGACAUCAGCUGAGACCCAGGCGGCCUUACAAUGAGAGGGCUGUUGGUCAAAGGAAGGACUGUUUAAUGAACUGAGAAUCUGAGGCCAGCUCUGGCCAUCUGCACUUGGAAUCAUUAGAGCAACUCUACUGUAACUGGCAACCUUGAAUAAUGCAGCAAAUUCAUAUUCCAAAAUUGUGAACUUUAAAAUUUUGUGUUUGUGUCUAUGAUGAAAAGCAUUAUAUAAACAUUUGAUACUACAAUUUUAUUAGUAAGGAAGGCUGAAAAAGUAUCUCUCUUUUGACUCUGAGGUCAAUAAUGAUAAUGGCUUUUCCCCUACACUGGGAUAGAAAUGUUCUGUCAAGGAUAUGAAAACACUUUAUGAAAAUGAAAUUCAUUAAAGCCCUUAAUAAUCAGGUAGGGAAGGCAGGUGCUCACAAUUGUCACCUGUUGGUGAGUGAACACCUUAGGCUCGGGGAGGACAAUGACUCAAGAACAAGGUCGAAUUGCAGGUGGGGGGUGAAGCUGAUCCCUAACAGUGUCCUCCAGCCCCUGGCACUGAGGAAGGACAUGGAGGGCUUGCAUCGACUUUUCCUGGCAGGCUUGUGAUUCCCAGCCAGAAUGCAGGUGGCAAUGUUGUGAUUCCUGGCGUAACCUUCAAUGCUUCAAUGAUAAUCUCUGCUGGUGCCAGGCACCAGCUGAGUGUCACUGUGCAGCUCCCAGGCUUAAGUGAUGCAUGCCGAGGUUUUCAGAGCAGUCUCUCAUUUAUUAGUUGUGUUGGAAAGAAAUCUGUACUACCUAACUGGGUACCUCUGGAUUUUAACAGCUGUGGUUUAUAAGAGAUAUGAGAGGGGGUUUGUUUUCAAAGUGCCUUUCACAAAGUAACACCUUAGACUGUAGUUUACAUUCCAUUCCAGUAGGAUAACUUGCAACACUUCUGUGCUCAGAAAUCCAACUGUGCAAGAAAAGUCAGGUUAUAUUUUCAUACAGCCCGUUCUGGCAAAUAUGCCUUCACACCACUUUCCCUCCUCCUCACCGCUAUUGGCAAUAGUCCCAAUGGAAGAGUUUUAUGUCAAAUGCUGAGUAUCUUGGAAGCUGUCCUGCACAGACACGACUGCUUGGCUGCGUGUUGGAGAGUCGCGGUUGGACUGGGAGACCAGGAAGGUCCCUUCUGGUCUGAGAUGUGAUGACUCUAGAACUAAUUAGUUUCAACUCAUAACACGAAAUGAUACUAGCUACCAUUUGGUGGGCUUUUUCUGUGUUCCAGGCUCUGUGCUAAGAUCUUAGCAUUACUCUAAUUACAAAAUCCCUGCCAAUAUUAUCCUCAGUUUACGCAAGAACAAAUGGGUUUAGGGAAAUCAAAAACUUGUCCAAUGACACAGAUUUAAGAUUUAGCAACUGAUGGCCACGUGGAAAUGGAUUACAGAUUAUUCUAAUUGGACACUCUAAACGUGCAAUUUAACCAGAAUGAAAUUUAGGGCUGCGUGCUGUGGCUCAUGCCUGUAAUCCUAGCACUUUGGGAAGCCAGGUGUAUCCCUUAAGCCCAGGAGUUUGAGAGCAACUUGGGCAACAUGGUGAAACCUGUAUCUACAAAAAAUACAAAAAUUAGCCAGGUGAGGUGGUGUAUGCCUGUAGUUCCAGCUACUUGGGAGGCUGAGAGAUGGGAGGAUUGGUUGAGCCUAGGAGGUCGAGGCUGCUGUGAGCUGUGAUGGUUCCACUGCACUCCAGCCUGGGCGACAGAGACAGACUCCAUCUCAAAAAAAAAAAAAAAAAAAGUAGCUACCUUGUGGUUGCACUCGUCUGAGACUAGCUCAUGGCUCCAGCUCUCAGGGUGGUGAGUAAUGAUUCUGUGGUCAGACGCAGUUUUGAAGUCAGGCAAGAAAACCUUCAACAAGAGUUAGAGAUGUCCUGUCUAUGAAUUUCUCCUCUAGGCUUAGGGAUAGCCCUGGGAUUCAUGUCAUGCCAGUUAGGGAUCCACUCAUUGUAAGCAAUACAAGUGCCCCCGAAGAGACAGUGCAUUAAUUGUCACCCCUUAGGAGCAUUGUGUGAAUUAGUGUGAUUUAGCACAUGCCCAGAGGGAUGAAACUCUAGCUCCAUAGGGUAGGUCCUGAUUACUCCUGGAGCAGGCAGCCAGCUCAGCUCAUGGGGAGCUCUGAGAAGUCUCUCAAUGCCUCGCAUGCAGCCCCUGCUCAGGAGUCAUGUGUCACUUCACAGUCUUGCUUUCCAGUGGGUCAAAGCAUGAUGUUUAUGAGAAACAAAUACACAAAAUUCUGACUUGUGUGAAUACAGAACACGUGCAAUAAAACGACUGCAAUCUAUUUUUAAAAUGUGGUCUGAGAAGUCAGGUUUAAUAUGACUAUGUAAUAUAUAAACAAUAUAUUUUCCACAGAAAGGAAAAUAUAAAUAAUAAAAUAUGUCUAUUUCUUUUUUUUGGUGGAAAAUUACUCCCACAAUUUGGUCCCAAGGGGGUCUUAAUUUGUCAUCAGGUCUGUGGCUAAAUGUCUUAUAAAGGAAUGCUUCUUUCUUUCGAGAAGUGUACAGGAACAGUCUGCACUGACUGCUUUUACCUGUAAAUGUUUUGAGAAUUCAGAAGUCACUUUCCUUCCACAAUAGGUGCUAGGCAUUUUAUUUAAAUAAAGCAAAAACAUUUCUGUCAUAAAGAAGGUGUUAAUAACCUCAAAGCUAUGCGAAAUAUACUAGUACAAUCUAAUACUCAUGGUGAAAAAUACAGUAAUUAAGAGCAAUUCAAGUUUUUUUGUUUUGGUUUAACUUCAGAAUUAAAAUAAACUCAGAAUUAAAAAAAUAAAAAAUGGUUUUAUUACAUGUCAGAGUAUUGAGAUACAAAAUAUAUACCAGAU